GAUGAAGAACGUAGCGAAAUGCGAUACGUAAUGUGAAUUGCAGAAUUCAGUGAAUCAUCGAGUCUCUGAACGCACAUUGCGCCCCCUGGUAUUCCGGGGGGCAUGCCUGUCCGAGCGUCAUUGCUGCCCUCAAGCACGGCUUGUGUGUUGGGCCUCCGUCCUCCUCCCGGGGGACGGGCCCGAAAGGCAGCGGCGGCACCGCGUCCGGUCCUCGAGCGUAUGGGGCUUCGUCACCCGCUCUUGUAGGCCCGGCCGGCGCUUGCCGACACAUCAAUCUUUUUUCCAGGUUGACCUCGGAUCAGGUAGGGAUACCCGCUGAACUUAAGCAUAUCAAUAAGCGGAGGA
rnacentral:misc_RNA from 1 species